rnacentral:lncRNA from 1 species
UAGACAGCGAGUAGCCGGGCUAUGGAAUCUCUGCAGGAAUAAACGCAUUCUUUUCUAAAGCCCUCCCACCCCAGGGAGCCCACACCCCAUGCUCUAGAUCUCCCGGGGAGCCUGCUGCUGCUUAUCUAAACAACUCACAAAACAUCAGAAUGAAAAUCCAGCCAGCAAAUGCAGUUUCUCCUGGAAUAGAAGCGUCGUCCCCUGAAGGUGGCCGAGUCUGAUUACCUCGCUCGUCUCCUCCAUGGUAACCUGUGAUACUACCCCAACAGAGACACUGGGAUGUGCAUAUCCCUUGAGAUUCCUGGAACAAAUCUUUGUCCUCGUUCCCAGCUGAAAGGUGACCUCCGGCGUGAAACUGGAUGAGUAUCUGCUUGUUUAUCUGCAAAAGGGGAGUCAUGAGGUCCCUACACCAUCACACGCUGUGAGGAUGAAAUGGAGUUGGCACAAGGCACCUAACUGCAGGCUUACCUAUGCUGUUCUUACCAUCAUCGUAUCCAGUAGUAAGAUGACUCCCAAGUCACCCUCCCACUCAGGAGAGCUUGCCACCUGCCAAUCGCAGGCAUCGCCGCGUUUUUCAGCUUUUUUGCAAUCAAUCUCAGGGACAGCUCCAGUGGACUUUGGCAUACACGUGGAUCUUCUUCUAUUUCCCAACUUUAACUUACUGUCUCAUUUCAAGAACUCUCUCCCUUCAGUUCCCCCUCCAUAAAUGAAGGAAAGGUAAGCAAACAAUUUGGACAGACUCCCCCUCCACUUAAGACAGUCAUUCUUUCCUUGGUAUUUGAAGAAAAUUAUAAUUAUUUUAAUGUGAUACACUUGAUAGCAGACAAUAAAUGAGCCAUUAGAGGAAGGACAGCCUGUAA